rnacentral:sRNA from 12 species
CUGCCCGGUUGGUGAUUGAGACGACAGGGCUGGGCGGCGAUACCCCUACUGGUUGUCAGCGGUGGAACAGGGGACACAUGGGCGGCGAAGCCAGCACCCAUCCGCGAAGAGGCUGGCGAGU